rnacentral:rRNA from 1 species
GAAACGACUGCUAAGACUGGAUAGGAAGAUAAGAGGCAUCUUUUAUCUUUUAAAAGACCUAGUAAUAGGUAUGCUUUAGGAGGGGCUUGCGCCAUAUUAGUUAGUUGGUAGGGUAAUGGCCUACCAAGACGAUGAUGUGUAGCUGGACUGAGAGGUUGAACAGCCACAUUGGGACUGAGACACGGCCCAAACUCCUACGGGAGGCAGCAGUAGGGAAUUUUCGGCAAUGGAGGAAACUCUGACCGAGCAACGCCGCGUGAAUGACGAAGUACUUCGGUAUGUAAAGUUCUUUUAUCAAGGAAGAAAAGCAAAUGGCGAACCAUUUGUUUGCCGGUACUUGAUGAAUAAGCCCCGGCUAAUUAUGUGCCAGCAGCCGCGGUAAGACAUAAGGGGCAAGUGUUAUCCGGAAUUAUUGGGCGUAAAGGGUGCGUAGGCGGUCUAGUAAGUCAGUGGUGUAAUGGCAACGCUUAACGUUGUCCGGCUAUUGAAACUGCUAAACUUGAGUUAGAUAGAGGCGAGUGGAAUUCCAUGUGUAGCGGUAAAAUGCGUAAAUAUAUGGAGGAACACCAGAGGCGUAGGCGGCUCGCUGGGUCUUAACUGACGCUGAGGCACGAAAGCGUGGGGAGCAAACAGGAUUAGAUACCCUGGUAGUCCACGCCGUAAACGAUGAGUACUAAGUGUCGGGUUAAACCGGUACUGAAGUUACCACAUUAAGUACUCCGCCUGAGUAGUACGUACGCAAGUAUGAAACUUAAAGGAAUUGACGGGACUCCGCACAAGCGGUGGAUCAUGUUGUUUAAUUCGAAGAUACCCGAAAAACCUUACCAGGUCUUGACAUGUUUUUGCAAAAUGAUAGUAAUAUCGUGGAGGUUACCAGAAACACAGGUGGUGCAUGGUUGUCGUCAGCUCGUGUCGUGAGAUGUUAGGUUAAGUCCUAAAACGAGCGAAACCCUUAUCGUUAGUUGCCAGCACGUUAUGGUGGGGACUUUAACGAGACUGCCAAUGAUAAAUUGGAGGAAGGUGAGGAUCACGUCAAAUCAGCAUGCCCCUUAUGACCUGGGCUACAAACGUGAUACAAUGGCUGUUACAAAGGGUAGCUGAACGCAAGUUCUUGGCCAAUCCCCAAAAACAGUCCCAGUCCGGAUUGAAGUCUGCAACUCGACUUCAUGAAGUUGGAAUCGCUAGUAAUCGCGAAUCAGCAUGUCGCGGUGAAUACGUUCACGGGGUUUGUACACACCGCCCGUCA